UACGAAGGGUGCAAGCGUUACUCGGAAUUACUGGGCGUAAAGCGUGCGUAGGUGGUUCGUUAAGUCUGAUGUGAAAGCCCUGGGCUCAACCUGGGAAUGGCAUUGGAAACUGGCGACCUAGAGUGCGGUAGAGGGUAGUGGAAUUCCCGGUGUAGCAGUGAAAUGCGUAGAGAUCGGGAGGAACAUCUGUGGCGAAAAGCGGCUUCCUGGUCCAGCAUCGACGUUCAGGCACGAAAGCGUGGGGAGCAAACAGG
rnacentral:rRNA from 1 species